AACGAACGCUGGCGGCAUGCCUAACACAUGCAAGUCGAACGAGACCUUCGGGUCUAGUGGCGCGCGGGUGCGUAACGCGUGGGAAUCUACCCUUGGGUUCGGAAUAACAGUUAGAAAUGACUGCUAAUACCGGAUGAUGACGUAAGUCCAAAGAUUUAUCGCCCAAGGAUGAGCCCGCGUAAGAUUAGCUUGUUGGUGGGGUAAUGGCCUACCAAGGCGACGAUCUUUAGCUGGUCUGAGAGGAUGAUCAGCCACACUGGGACUGAGGCACGGCCCAGACUCCUACGGGAGGCAGCAGUGGGGAAUAUUGGACAAUGGGCGAAAGCCUGAUCCAGCAAUGCCGCGUGAGUGAUGAAGGCCUUAGGGUUGUAAAGCUCUUUUACCAGGGAUGAUAAUGACAGUACCUGGAGAAUAAGCUCCGGCUAACUCCGUGCCAGCAGCCGCAGUAA
rnacentral:rRNA from 1 species